rnacentral:rRNA from 1 species
AGUGAACGCUGGCGGUAGGCCUAACACAUGCAAGUCGAACGGCAGCACAGUAAGAGCUUGCUCUUACGGGUGGCGAGUGGCGGACGGGUGAGGAAGACAUCGGAAUCUACUUUUUCGUGGGGGAUAACGUAGGGAAACUUACGCUAAUACCGCAUACGACCUACGGGUGAAAGCAGGGGAUCUUCGGACCUUGCGCGAUUGAAUGAGCCGAUGUCGGAUUAGCGAGUUGGCGGGGUAAAGGCCCACCAAGGCGACGCUCCGUAGCUGGUCUGAGAGGAUGAUCAGCCCCACUGGAACUGGGCCACGGUCCAGACUCCUCCGGGAGGCAGCAGUGGGGAAUAUUGGACAAUGGGCGCAAGCCUGAUCCAGCCAUACCGCGUGGGUGAAGAAGGCCUUCGGGUUGUAAAGCCCUUUUGUUGGGAAAGAAAAGCAGCAGGUUAAUACCCCGCUGUUCUGACGGUACCCAAAGAAUAAGCACCGGCUAACUUCGUG